AUUGAACGCUGGCGGCAGGCCUAACACAUGCAAGUCGGACGGUAGCACAGAGGAGCUUGCUCCUCGGGUGACGAGUGGCGGACGGGCGAGAAAUGUCUGGGGAUCUGCCCGAUAGAGGGGGAUAACCACUGGAAACGGUGGCUAAUACCGCAUAACGUCGCAAGACCAAAGAGGGGGACCUUCGGGCCUCUCACUAUCGGAUGAACCCAGAUGGGAUUAGCUAGUAGGCGGGGUAACGGCCCACCUAGGCGACGAUCCCUAGCUGGUCUGAGAGGAUGACCAGCCACACUGGAACUGAGACACGGUCCAGACUCCUACGGGAGGCAGCAGUGGGGAAUAUUGCACAAUGGGCGCAAGCCUGAUGCAGCCAUGCCGCGUGUAUGAAGAAGGUCUUCGGGUUGUAAAGUACUUUCAGCGGGGAGGAAGGCGAUGUGGUUAAUAACCGCGUCGAUUGACGUUACCCGCAGAAGAAGCACCAGCUAACUCCGUGCCAGCCGCCGCUGUAA
rnacentral:rRNA from 1 species